rnacentral:lncRNA from 1 species
GAGCCUCCUGCUGGUUAUUUUGAUCCAUACUUUGCAAAUCUCCAGGAGGGCUUUAAUUCAACGUUUGAAGCUUUUUGACAGCAAGUGAUGGAUAAUUUGCAGAGCAUGCAAGACAAUAUGAGAACUCACAUCAACAACCGGAUCAUUGGUUUUGGACAUGACAUCCAUUUUACCAUGUAUGAGCCCAUGAUGACUAGGUUGAAAAAUGUUCAGGAUGGUCUUCACAAUGACAUUGGAGCUUUGGGUGCUCGGCUUGACACUAUGAGUCUCAGUGGUUCUACUUCUCAGCUUGAUGAGCGCCAACAGAAACUUGAGCACGACAUGAACACUCUCUCAUCCAGUUUCUCCAGCUUCAGUGAUCAUUUCUACAGUAUCUUUCCAGCUCCUACUCCGCCUCCUAACUUCUACCCUCACCAGCCGUACUAUCCUCCUCC